rnacentral:tRNA from 1 species
GGGUCAAUGGUCUAGUGGUAUGAUUCCUGCUUUGGGUGCAGGAGGCCGGGGGUUCGAUUCCCUCUUGACCCC